rnacentral:rRNA from 1 species
UACGUAGGGGGGCAAGCGUUGUCCGGAAUCAUUGGGCGUAAAGAGCGCGUAGGCGGCCCUGUAAGUCCGCUGUGAAAGUCAAGGGCUCAACCCUUGGAUGCCGGUGGAUACUGCAGGGCUAGAGUCCGGAAGAGGCGAGUGGAAUUCCUGGUGUAGCGGUGAAAUGCGCAGAUAUCAGGAGGAACACCAAUGGCGAAGGCAGCACUCUGGGACGUGACUGACGCUGAGACGCGAAAGCGUGGGGAGCGAACAGG